CCAGCGGCAUAGGGAGGUUCCCAGGUUAGGGGUCUAAUUGGAGUGAUAGCCGCCAGCCUAUGCCAGAGCCACAGCAAUGCCACAUCUGAGCCUUGUCUUCGACCUACACCACAGCUCACGGCAACGCCAGAUCCGUAACCCACUGAGCGAGGCCAGGGAUCAAACCUGCAACCUCAUGGUUCUAGUCGGAUUCAUUUCUGCUGCGCCAGACGGGAAUCCCCCUACCCUCUGUUCUUGAUGCGUCAUGUUGCCUCUGGUUUACAAAACAAACAGGUUAGUGUGUAAGCAUUGUGUUUUCUUUAUAAAAGGACACGUCGCAGAGAGCUUUGGCUAGCCAUCUCCCCAAGGGCAUCUAAAAUCGGGUUCAAACUACACAAAUGGUAUGUAAACAGUUCGGGGGAGAGAGCAAUAUAUUGUAUAAGGUUCAUAUGUGUAGGUAAAUACAUGAACAGAUUGUCAUUAAGGUAAUUUGAGACAGUGGAUAGGACAAAAUACCCUCAGAGACAUAGAGGGCUGCUGGUCUCUGACUCUUUCUCUCCCCUGUUCAAUAAAGAGGUUAUGGACUCCCGGUAUGUGUGUGUCUGUCUGUGUGUGGGUGUCUACUCGUGGAAGAAGGCAUACAUGGCUGGGGGCAAAGCCUGGCUUUAACACCAAAGCUGAAGUUCAAUGAUGCUGCUUUCCAAGAAGGUUGCCUUUGACUUUUCAAAUGAAAAAUUAAUAGGCACUUACUUGCUGCUGCCUUUAAUCACAUUUGCUAGAGGCAAGUGUCUGCCAACGGCAUGGCCCGGGCUGUCUUCUAUGCUGGAUCUGCUCUCAGCAAACUCAUUGGUCUGGGAGGAGAAAGGGUGCCAUUUUGCCUGAACAGCUGAAGGGGCAGAAACAUCAUGGGAGGUGGUAUCAUGUUUUUUGUUUAUUGUUUGUUUGUUUUUGUGCUGAUGGAUCCCCACCCAUUGGCAUUCGCCUGGCAGAGAAGCUAAAACAAACAUGCCUUAGUAGAGCAUGGAUGAAGAUCCUGAACCUGUGGAUUGAAGACCUCAAAGGGCCAAGGAAGAUUGUGAGAGAGCCACUAAGCCUUGUCUCUAGGCAUAAUAAAAUGCUCCCCUACAAAUGCAGAAUCAUUUUUCUAGCAUGUCUAGAUACUACUGGGAUUAGUAAAGUAUUACUUCAUCUGCUAAAUGAAAAUCAAUUACUAAAUUUGUAGUAGCUUUUUACCAUUAUGUAUUUUUCUUAACCAAAGGUACAUUGUUGGAGUCCUUGAAAAUUUUUUACCUUAAAUAUGAGCCUUCAUACUAAGAACUUAAGACUAGGAUAUCCCUUCUCUAACUGAAGCAGGAUUACUACAGGAAUGGUCUUUUUGGACAUCACGUUCCCCCAUUUUCCCCCAGCUUUAUGAAGAUAUAACUUACAUUAUAUCUCAUCUUUGUAAAUCACAUAAUUUACAAAGUGCGAAAUUAGGUGUUUUUGUUUUGUUUUUUAGCUUUUUAGUAUAUUUUAAGUUGUGGGACCAACUCAAAUCUUAGAACAACUGUCAAAAUGUCCUUGUACUCCUCAGCACUUAAUCCCCAUCUCCCCGCCUCUGUCCCCAAGCUCCAGGCAAUCAUGACUCUCUUUUCCGUUUCUAUAGCUCUGCCCACUCUGGACAUUUCCUAUAAAUAGGAUCACACACUACGUGGUCUUCUAUGACUAGAAGACUGUUUCAAAACCUCAAAACUCCAUCCAGUUGUUGCAUAUCCAACUCCUACAUAUACCUCUGUUGCCGUCUCACCUCUCCUAGAAGUCUUGCUUGCUCCUCAGCCUAGAGGAAUAUUUUCUCCUACUAGUUCUCAGCCUCUUAUUUGUUCAAGAAGCGUUCAGGAUAAGCUGCAUGGCCCAUCUCUGCUGACAGGGGACUGUUCUCCAGCUCGUUCUGUGAUUUCCUCACCUCUGACUUCUUGGAGGUGGCCUCUUGCUGGCAUACUUCCUGGGUUCACUCCACUCAACCCUGGCCAACAUAGUUUUCUGCUUGAAAUGGGUAGUCUGUUUAUGUGUGUUGAAAGAAUAAAUGACUCAUGGGGAUGUUCCCAUAUUUUUAGGAAAAAAAGGAUGCAGGAGAAAGUGCAAGAAAGCAAAACAAAAAACAGGAACAAAGAUAAAUCAUGGAAUGCAGGCAUUAGAAUCCAAAGGAUUGGCAGCUGCAGAGCAGGCAUGAUCUCCUCAUGUUGUGCCAGAGGGCAUUAAAAAGCCCUGGGCCACCACAGGUCUCCCAUUACCUCCAGCAGCAAUUGAGAGAACGUGUGUUCCUCACUCCUUCAGCUGAAGGCAUUAACCGCCUCCAUUAAAAUGCAAAUGUCAACACCUGGGAGAGCGGCAGAUCGAGCUAUUAUCAGCCAUUUCCUACUCAGCUACAAUCUGAGCUCUUUGAAUGUUUCCCUGUUCCCUGAGGCCCAGAGGUCUGGAGGUGAGAGAAGUGUCUGGAAAAACCUAGGGCCUGGUUCCCUCUGGCCAAUUGCAAACUUCCUAUCAUCCUUGAUUUCCCAGCCAAGGAACCCAGAGAUCAAGAGGAAGAUGUCCUCGGUUCUGGAGUUCCCAUUGUGGUGCAGGGGAAAUGAACCCGACUAGGAUCCAUGAGGAUCGGUGUUCGAUCCCUGGCCAAGCUCAGUGGGUUAAGGAUCCGGCAUUGCCAUGAGCUGUGGUGUAGGCUGCAGACAUGGUUCGGAUCCCACGUUGCUACGGCUGUGGUGUAGGCGGAAGGCUACAGCUCCGAUUCAACCCCUAGCCUGGGAACCUCCAUAUGCUGCAAGUGCAGCCCUAAAAAGCAAACAAACAAACAAACAAACAAACAAAACCAACAACAAAAAAACCACAAAUGUCCUUGGUUCCUCCUCAGAGAUCCUAGUGGGGAUGGGCUGGAGCGGAAAAACCUCCGAGGAUGACCUACCUUCAAGAUGCCCAUGCCGUCCUGUUAGCUUUUCUCUGACUCGGGGAUGUCAGUUCUUCGAAGGAAAGGUAAGUUAUCGAGUUUGCGGCAUGGGAUUGCUCUCAGAAUGCCAAUAUCAGGGGAGGUUGACACACCUUUGGGAACUGGAUGAUCUUGAAGAUUCUUUCACCCUUGAGGGGGCCUAGGGUUCUUAGCGUGCUUUAAUUCCCUGUGAAGAACUCAUUACCAGGCGGGGCUCUCCGAGGCAGUAGGGAAAGUUCAUUUUUGAGCCCCCAAUUCCUAACUGGCUUUCAUUUCUGCCACCUUCCUUCCCAUUCCUGGGCAUCCAUGCCCUUUUCUGGUUCCAUGUGCUCCAGGAAAUGCUCAGUGGUGUCGAAAUGUUCUCUCCUGCUUCUCCCUAACUCAUCCCUCCUUCCGUAUAGCAAGCAUCCAUUCUCUUGGUGCCCGCAAACUUGUUUUGGCAAUAAAGGGGGAAGCGUGCUGAUUAAACUCAUCCACACUAACUUAAUAACGACUGGUGGUCUUGGCAUAAGUCCUUCAUUCUACCACAUACCAGUGGUAUCUGCAUUCCCUUUUUUCAACCACUUUCUUGAGAUAUAAUUAUAUACCAUGAAGUUCACCUGGUUGGGUUCAAGUGUGCAAGGCAAUGGUUUUUAGUAUAUUUCUCAAGUUGGGCAAUCAUCGCCAUAAUCUAAUUUUUGAACAUUUUCAUGCCCCUCCAAGACAUUUUGUACCCAUUAGCCAACACUCCCCAUUCCUCCCCCUCUCCAAGCCUAAGCAACCACUGAUCUACUUUCUCUCUGUAGAUUUUCUGCAUUUAUUUUUAGGGAUUUUUUGGUUGUUGUUGUCUUUUUGUCUUUUUAGGGCUGCACCCGCAGCAUAUGGAGGCUCCCAGGCUAGGGGUCACAUUGGAGCUGUUCCUGCCAGCCUACACCACAGCCACAGCAACAUGGGAUCCAAGCUGCGUCUGUGACCUACACCAUAGCUCACAGCCAUGCCAGAUCCUUAACCCACUGAGCGAGGCCAAGGAUCAAACCCUCAACCUUAUGGUUCCUAGUUGGAUUCAUUUCCCCUGUGCCAUGACGGGAACUCCUAAUGGUAGGAUUUUAAGCAUUGUAGGGGAAGGAAUUUUCAGGUACAGGAGUAUUACUAAGACCCAUUUCUACAAAUAUUUCUAAACAGUCUAAAAUAUUAAUAAUCGAAUUUCCCAAAUAGAACUAUGUUUCCAAAAAGAAGCCUGGGGGAAAUGACGAAUGAAGUCCUGAAGGGUAACCGGGGUACAGGGGGAAGAUGGCUGGCGGGGGUGGGCGGUCCUCAGAUCUCCCAAAGGACCUGCUGUGCCAGAGGGGCAUAGCCACCUCCCCUCUGCAAACCAAGUGCUCACUUCAGAGAGAGGCCCCAGGUGGGCUUUGGGUCAGCCCCUCUCUAAUGACAACAGCCAGGCACAUGUCCUGGAGGUGGUCUUCAAAACCUCUGCCUUGUGUUCCUGUGACUCCCGUCCUGGUUUUCAUGUGACCUCUUGGACUCUUCCUCUAAACAGCAGUUGACCCCUGGAUUUCCUUGUCUGCCCUUCACAGGGUUCCUCCAGCCAAUGGCAUCAUUUCCAUCCCCAUGUCACUUCUGGGCUCCAGCCGCAUCUGCUCUGCAAUAGCUUCCUGACUGGUCCUCUCUGUUCUUGGAUCUUGCUUGUCUAAUUUCAUGACAACAUUGCUAAGAGUUUGCCUCGCAAAACAUAAAUGGCUCAGGACACUUCUAUCCCCCUGUCCAGGGACCCUUCAUUGUCUUUAAACUGAAGCCCACUCUCCUCCACAUAGUGCUAAAGAGCCCAACCUACCUUUCCAUCUCCAUCCACAGCGGCCAGUCAGUCCCCUGAACUGCGCCCCACCCCAUCUCACCCCUCAGACUCCAUUCCCACCACUUUCCCCUAGAGGUUACCAUUUGCUUAUCCAACAAGCAAAGGAGGGAAGGGCACUUCCUGUGUGCCAGGUACGGGGCACAAGAAAGAGUAAGAUCCCAAUUCUGCCCUCAAGGAGUUCAGCAGACUGUGGAGACAGUUCUGAAAAAGUCAAGAUAACACAGCGUGACAAUUGCUAUAAUAGAGAGAAAAGCAAGGUGCUUGGGGAGCUGAGGAGGAGGGUGUGCUUAGCAGCCUGGGGGAAGGGGAGGGAGAGAAGGGCAUUAAAGAGGCAUCCAUUUGAGUUGUGCUGGGGGUGAUUUCUGCAGAGAUUUAGAGGUUCAGGGCGGCCUGACGACCUGGGGAAGGGGUGGACAGUGAAAACCUGCAGGUAGGAAGAGGCCAUUUUGCGGAGGGUUUUCAGUUAGCGUGUAACAUGCAUGAUCAGAUGGGGACAAAGUAGAGGACAGAUCCGAGAGCAAGGAGAAAGUGUUGGUCACUGUCCAGGCAAUGAGAAGGGAGGAUCUGGGUGAAGGUGGUACCCAGAGAAUGGAAGAAGAGACAGAUAUGAAAAGAGCAGGGCAUGGCAGCAGGAUCUGAGAGCUGGGUUGGGAGGGCUCACCACUCUAAGCUCAG
rnacentral:lncRNA from 1 species